GCGGGCGGCCGGGGGAGCCGAGGAGAGCGGCGUGCCCCGGGUGCGAGUCGGGCCCCGCUGCGCUGUGCGAGCUCCGCACGGGAAUCGGGAGGUUUUGGGGGCAGAUGGGUGGUUUUGGGGGUUAUUGAAGGGAAGGGAGCCCGCAGGGUUGGUGGGGAGGAGAGUUUGGGGCGGUGCUGCCCGUGGUUCUGUGUUUGCUGGUGUCACUGCACGUGUGGCAGGGGCUGGCAGCGUGUAGGGGAUCUGGCGCUGUCGCCUGGUAAUCAGAUUUUUUUCAGAUAUUACCCGCACUGAUGUCUGUAAAUUUAUUAGCUCUGCUGUCAAAUUAGCUGGAAUUUGCAACCCCGCAGUGGAGAAUUUUUGUGCUGGGGUUAAUGAUUGCCCAGCUUGGAAGUGACUCAAAAGCCAAGUGUGGUCCUGCCAACAGUACAGUCAGAUGGAGCAGAAACAUGGCCAGAGAACCUGAUGGACACUGGAACACCCCAAGUCUCAGUGCUGUAGAGACCCUCCUGAGCAAGGCAUCAAUAAUUGGUACAACCCGUGGUGAAACACUGAGUGUCACAGCUGGGAAUGCUAUUUUUAUUGCUGAUGUACCUGCAGCCCUGAUAAAUCUCACCUGUGAAAUACUGAAGGAUUCAGUGUGCACCGAGGAGAACCACAGGAGUGUUUGUUGAGCAGGGCUUGUGUCCUGUGCUCAGGGGAUGAGGUGAAUCUGGAUCCUUGCUACUCGUCCAGACUCAGCCAGGCACCCAUAUGCCAAAGGGUAUUGGCACUCCUGGAGCCAGGAAUGCCUCUGAAUUCUCCAGGGACUGUUGUUGUUAUCUUUAGGUGGAGAUAUUGCAGCAGUGGAUGGCUAAAAAAGCCAAAAGUGGCUCAAUAAGAUAAUUUAUCCCUUUAAAACUUUUAAGACAUAAUGUUUCUUGAUUGUUUAACUUGCUGUGGCAAGUUUUUUGUUUUGAAAAAGUUACAUAAACCCCACCCACCUCUUCCCAGCGUGUGCAGUUCCCUGGCAGAUGCUUUGGAGCAGAUCAGAAAGCCCAUGGAUGAGAUCAGAAGGGCCAUCGGUGACUUAAAGGCUUCUCCUGGAGCCAGCCCUAACAGAGCCCCAGUGCCGUGCUGUUAUUGUCUUAAUCGAUUUACACAGCAUUGACACGAGGUGAGCUAGCUGCUUUUUAUCUUGCAAAUAGCCAGGAGCUGGUCCCUUAUAAGACAGAAGGUGGUUAAACACCCAUAAAAGAUGCUCAGCCUGUGCUCUGGCAUUUGCAUUUACAGCUGCGUGCUGAUAGUGUGUCCAUUAGCAUAUCCAUAUGAAAAGCACACAGUAGUUGGAGGUUUACAACAUCCUGUUGUUGGGCUGGGAUGGUGCAUCUGUUAGCACAGCUUUCUGCAGAGCCCUUGAAAAGGGCAGCGGAAAUCUGGGGAGCAGGGAGGCUGGGGAGCAGCUGGACACUCCUGUUAAAAUAAAAUACCUGGAGAGCCUCACAAGGAGAAGAUUGUGAGGAGAACAAGCGGAACUGGGACUGUAAAACAAUUCAGGGUGUGGGGGUUCAGAGGAGCUGGGAGCUCACAAAGAGCCUUUUGGAGGUGUGUGUGCCACAAGGAGUAGGAAAUCUUUGUUGUCACACAGAUAAUGUGGCUUAGCACAGGCUGUGCAGAUAUUCAGAGUUCCAAGGCUUGCUGUGCCUUCGGGACAUUUGAUAGAAAAGGAGUUGCUCCUCCUAGAAAGAAACCUUCAAAUAAAGUAUACAGACCCUUCUGUAA